GACGUUGGGCCAUUGCCAGUAUU
rnacentral:siRNA from 1 species